ensembl:lincRNA
AAUCACCCAGUCCUCAGUUGUACCAUUCAGUAAGCAUCAGCACGCCAUGAAGUGUGCUCCCUGCUGUGUUGCGGGGACAAAACAUCUGUCCCAGGGCUCUGUGGCCGCCCGUUCUGUCCUGUCCAAUGAAGCUCUGUUCUGUUCCAUUGGUCUAUGUCUCUGAUUCGGUACCAGUACCAUGCUGUUCUGAUUACUGUAGCAAUUGACUACGUUUCUGAUCAGGUUUUCAGUAUUCAUUGAGAGAAACAGAACGUUGUGCAAACAAUCCGCAGCACGACGUGCCACUCAUAAAGCUCUGUUUCUGCGUUGCAGGUAGUGCCGGUGUUCCCUCUGAAGUGCGACUCUGGAGUAUUGGGUCUAAAGCCUUUCUCUGAUAGCUCUGCGGGAAGAUUGCCCACCUCACCCUUGCUUUCUGCGGGUUCCAGAAGCUUCCAUUUAAAGGAGCAUCCCUCCCCACUCUGCCUCCCCCAACACCAGCUCUCCUGCACCCACUGGCUUUCUCAACGCUUUCUUCCACCUUCACCUCAUUGAAUUCAAGACUCUGGAAAAUAGUCAAAAAUGAUAAAAAGGUGAGGUGCCUCCUCCUCUGUACAGUGAGUGAGGAGGGCAAAGACAGGAGCCCCGGGUAUGGUUCAGAUGCGACUCUGCUUCCUGACACUCUGCUGUGGAGCCUGAGCUUUCCGAAGCCACCUUACAUCUCCCAAAACCUUCAUGGGAGCAGAGCCACUGCAUUGAAAUAAGAGCUGCGACCCGCCUGUUCCUGGGCCCCUCUGCCCUGAGUUCUCACAGCUGACCCGGUGGGGUGAAGAUGUGUCCUAGCAGGUCAGUGUUGCCACCCAAACCUACCCAGUGGGCACCCUGAUGACCAAACUCCCCUGGAGGCUCUUGAGUCAUUUUCCAGCUGGGAGAGGCCAUCUCAGAGUGUCCCUCACUGUUCCACACUGCCCUCAGACCCCAAAGCCUUCCUGCCUCUGACACACUGGGGCAUCUCAGGUAGGGAGCCUUGGCUGUCCUGAUCCUCCUUUCUGAAGCUGCUCACGAUGUCAGAGAGGGGCCAGGGCAGCCGGGAAUCCUAAAUAAAGGGGGCAUGGGUUGAAGGGAGGUCACUUGUUCCUGCCAGCUGUGCCAGCAGAGCAUGUGUGGCACUUUCUGUCAGUGUUUCCUGAGACCCAGAAGCACAGAGUCUACUCACACUAUUAACACUCAUCAUCAGCCACCUAAAGGCUUCUCUUUCAUAUUUUUCUUUUUCACCAUUUCAAAUCAUGUUUUCUCCUAUCUCUGAGUCACCAACUCAACUGUAAAUCAUGUGGUUCCACUCUGACUUCCAAAUCAUCUCUACAGAUUCUUAGAGAAUUCAUAGUGUGUUUCCAUUUCUUAAGCAGAUAAUUUUUCCUCUUUAGGCCUCAUCUGGUUUAUUUUUUCUAAGAUUUAAACUCAGACUUAAACAUUUAAUUUCAUCCACGUGUGCAUAGGAACCACUUCCAUUACUUCCAGCGGAUCAGCAUUGUGUAAACUACACUUUAGUUUAAACCCUGUGCUGAGCGGCCAGGUUGCUGCCGACACCACGUGACCAGUGAGGACUUUCCCCUGCGCAUUUCCCUCCGUCUCGGAACCACAGUGGACUAGCUGCAUGGCGGGUGCACACUUAGUGUUACUAUGUGUUGAGGGACGUCCUGCCGGAUCGCUGACCUCGUUAAUAUCCCAGGUGUGAGUAAGAGCUUCUGAAGCUCCACAGCCUGGCUGGAAAUUUAUUUUUAAAAAAUAUUUAUUUAUUUAUUUUGAGACGGAGUUUUGCUCUUGUUACCCAGGUUGGAGUGCAAUGGCACAAUCUCGGCUCACCGUAACCUGCGCCUCCUGGGUUCAGGCAAUUCUCCUGCCUCAGCCUCCUGAGUAGCUGGGAUUACAGGCACAAGC